UGAUGCAGUCAGUCUUCAUUUAUUCUUCUUCAGUCAAUAACACCAUUUAGUUUGCUAAUACAUUGUUUACUGUGUAUAAGGUUUGCCAUUUGAGUGAUCCAGGUAUGGGGUUGGCCCUCUGGCUAAAUCAAUUGAGGGAGAUCCCUUUAUUUCAAGUAAAAUGAUGAUUUGAAUAAGAUGCCAUUCAGGCCCAUAGAGAUUAUAAAUAAUUAAGUAAUCUUAAUUCAGUAAAAAAAAGGGAACACGGCUAUUGGGGGACAAAUUCAAGUCCCGGAUGUGUAUUCAUGUUCCCAUUGGUGACGAGUUUUAAAUCAGCCAAUGAGAGCACGAUUAUAUACAGUAUAUCCAGGACUUGAAUUUGCCCCCCAUUAGCUGAGUUCCCAAUUUUUAAACUCGAUGCCUCCUCUAGUGUUAUUUAUAAUCUCUAUGAUUCAGGCAACAAGGGCCUGGUUAGGUCCAUAUUUUAAUUCAAAUUAUUAAGUACUCGAUUUAUCCAUCAACAAAACCCAACAUUAAAAUCUUCAUCGAAUGAGAUGCAACAAUACCAUCUAUAGUUUAUUAAUUAUGUUAACCUAACCCAUCAACUGGCAAUGAGCCUACUUUAGUAUUUUAUAUACUCUAUCUCUAAUUUGCCCAUUAUAUUUAUAAACUGACAGUUAAUACUAUUACUCUUUCACAUACUAAUAAAAUCAUCUGGGGCCGGUUGUUCGAAGCCCGUGUAGGCCUUUGAACUACUGGCCCCAGAUGAUUUUAUUAGUCUGUGAAAGAUUAAUUAUUAACUGUCUGUUUAUAAAUAUAAUGGGCAAAUAUAAUGUAUAAAUUAUGAUUAUGUAUCAAUUGCAUGCAUGGUUCAUAAUAUCUCUGUGAUAGACUUGCUCCAGCAGAUUCAAAUUCCAUCCUGAAAAUACCUAAAUAAUAAUUAUAGAGGUUGCAGUGUUGCACUACCUUUUGCUAAAAUACUGCCAUGGUUUACCAGUAUUAUGUACUCAAAAGUCAAAACACUCAACACUAUUUAGAUUUAUAAAUAGUACUUAAUAGUAUUUUAUAAACCUUAAUUGCAUAUAAAAUAGUUUAUAGUUAUCUUACCUUUGUACUUUUACUGUAAUUACUCUUUCGUUUGUAUUUGUUCACUAAUCUGUAUUUUCUUAUUUCAAAAUAAAC
rnacentral:lncRNA from 1 species